ensembl:lncRNA
AGUCUUUGACUGGAGUGUUCAAUAGCAAUGUAUAAAUAUUAUGAGCCUGCUCAUAGGUCUUCAUCAUAAUGUAUGAAUAUGGUUACUUACUAAUUAAAUGUAACCUCUGUUCUGUUACAGUUCAGUCCAGCAGAAGAGCUCAGAUUCAGCAGAGCCCAGCUGUGUGUCCAUGAAAAGUGACUGGUCUAUGGAUCCUCCUCUACAAAUGAAGAGUGGAGACCAAAGCCAGAGACACAGUUUGGAUCAGCAGAAGAGAUCAGAUUCAGCAGAGCCCAGCUGUGUGUCUAUGAAGAGUGACUGGUCUAUGGAUCCUCCUCUACAAAUGAAGAGUGGAGACCAAAGCCAGAGACACAGGUACACAAAUCUCAGGUGUUACCGCAAAUACCAGUAUAUACUAAUAUCAUUACUUUGUGUAAAUUCUAAUUUGGUUUUUGCAGGAAAUUUGUAUAGUGAAUACUGUUCUGUUACAGUUUGGAUCAGCAGAAGAGAUCAGAUUCAGCAGAGCCCAGCUGUGUGUCUAUGAAGAGUGACUGGUCUAUGGAUCCUCCUCUACAAAUGAAGAGUGGAGACAGAAGCCAGAGUCACAGUUCAGUCCAGCAGAAGAGCUCAGAUUCAGCAGAGCCCAGCUGUGUGUCCAUGAAAAGUGACUGGUCUAUGGAUCCUCCUCUACAAAUGAAGAGUGGAGACCAAAGCCAGAGACACAGGUACACAAAUCUCAGGUGUUACCGCAAAUACCAGUAUAUACUAAUAUCAUUACUUUGUGUAAAUUCUAAUUUGGUUUUUGCAGGAAAUUUGUAUAGUGAAUACUGUUCUGUUACAGUUUGGAUCAGCAGAAGAGAUCAGAUUCAGCAGAGCCCAGCUGUGUGUCUAUGAAGAGUGACUGGUCUAUGGAUCCACCAAUGAAGUUUAACAGUGGAGAUACACAGCCUGGUCUCAGUUCAGUUCAUCAGAAAAGAUCAGAAGAAGAGCUCAGCUGUGUGUCUAUGAAGAGUGACUGGUCUAUGGAUCCACCAAUGAAGUUUAACAGUGGAGAUACACAGCCUGGUCUCAGUUCAGUUCAUCAGAAGAGACCAGAAGCAGAGUCCAGCUGUGUGUCUAUGAAAAGUGACUGGUCUAUGGAUCCACCAAUGAAGUUUAACAGUGGAGAUACACAGCCUGGUCUCAGUUCAGUUCAUCAGAAAAGAUCAGAAGAAGAGCUCAGCUGUGUGUCUAUGAAGAGUGACUGGUCUAUGGAUCCACCAAUGAAGUUUAACAGUGGAGAUACACAGCCUGGUCUCAGUUCAGUUCAUCAGAAGAGACCAGAAGCAGAGUCCAGCUGUGUGUCUAUGAAGAGUGACUGGUCUAUGGAUCCACCAAUGAAGUUUAACAGUGGAGAUACACAGCCUGGUCUCAGUUCAGUUCAUCAGAAGAGAUCAGAAGCAGAGUCCAGCUGUGUGUCCGUGAAGAGUGACAGGUCUAUGAUUGAGCCAAUGAGUUUAAGAGUGGAGAUUCACAGCCUGAUCUCAGGUAUAACAUUUCUGAAAGAGA